rnacentral:precursor_RNA from 9 species
UCAUGUCAAUGUAUAUAAUAGACUCAUCUUAGCUCUUCAUUGGGUCAGCUAUCGUAAUUUAGAAAGAGAGCUGCCAAAUGAAGGGCUGUGAUUGGUUAAAUCAUCUUCAUUUCAUGUAA